GAAAACAGGAUGCACUUAUCUCUUACAGACAUUACCUUAAAAGGUAUUCUGUUUUAUAAUCAUUAUUACUAACUGAAAUGCACUUCUCCCAUUGUUUAAUCAGGAAGAAGAAAAACGUCCUACUGGCUUGUAACGUAUAUUAAGUGCUGAUUCAUGCCUGGUCCCACUUCAGUCACUUCGCAGCAGGUAGCUGUGACUGGCUUCCCUCGUGAUCUAACCUGCACUCAAGAGCAGAUAUAAGUCCGGUUCAUACAACAACACAAGUCAUUUGAAGAUAUUUGUUAUAAAGAGACAGCAUGGGCUCCAAAGUCCUACAAAUAUACGUAGUCAUCCUAAGCCCUCUUCAAGCUGUGUGAACUUACUCCUCUGAAGCCUCCAUUUCUAUCUUCAGGAGAAAUGGCUCUAGACAACCCAGGCCCUCACUCGCAUUCUGCUGGUUCAAGUGGAACACAACUGAGUUGUAACCCAAGUCUCUCCUGUGUAAGAGGGAGUUGUAGUGGGAUAAAGAAAAAGGUGGCAUUUCCUAAAGCAGCUGAGACUCUCGUGAAUGGCUAAAGAACCAACUCCUCGGAAUCUUGAGAAAGAAAUCCUCAAGCUUGUCUAUUAAACACAAAUCCAGAAUUGUGUAACCUCUGGAUCUCCUGGCAACCAUCUAGAGACUACAGGGGAUAGCCCUAAGAAUAAAGCCAACACAGAGGAAGCAAAGUGAAUGAU